rnacentral:rRNA from 1 species
AACGCUGGCGGCGUGCCUAAUACAUGCAAGUCGAACGGUCUUUUCUAUGGAAGCUUGCUUCCACUGAAGAGAUAGUGGCGAACGGGUGAGUAACACGUGGGUAACCUGCCCAUAAGAGGGGGAUAACAUCCGGAAACGGGUGCUAAUACCGCAUAGUUUUCUUGAUCGCAUGAUCGGGAAAGGAAAGACGGCCUUUGUGCUGUCGCUUAUGGAUGGACCCGCGGCGUAUUAGUUAGUUGGUGAGGUAACGGCUCACCAAGACGAUGAUACGUAGCCGACCUGAGAGGGUGAUCGGCCACAUUGGGACUGAGACACGGCCCAAACUCCUACGGGAGGCAGCAGUAGGGAAUCUUCCGCAAUGGACGAAAGUCUGACGGAGCAACGCCGCGUGAGUGAAGAAGGUUUUUCCGGAUCGUAAAACUCUGUUGUCAGAGAAGAACAAGUUGGAGAGUAACUGCUCCAGCCUUGACGGUAUCUGACCAGAAAGCCACGGCUAACUACGUGCCAGCAGCCGC